rnacentral:rRNA from 1 species
UUAGUGGCGGACGGGUGAGUAACGCGUGGAUAACCUGCCGUAUACCGGGGGAUAACACUUAGAAAUAGGUGCUAAUACCGCAUAAGCGCACGAAGCCGCAUGGAUUUGUGUGAAAAACUCCGGUGGUGUAAGAUGGACCCGCGUCUGAUUAGCUUGUUGGCGGGGUAACGGCCCACCAAGGCGACGAUCAGUAGCCGGCCUGAGAGGGUGGACGGCCACAUUGGGACUGAGACACGGCCCAAACUCCUACGGAAGGCAGCAG